UACGAAGGGGGCUAGCGUUGUUCGGAAUCACUGGGCGUAAAGCGCACGUAGGCGGAUUGUUAAGUCGGGGGGUGAAAUCCUGAGGCUCAACCUCAGAACUGCCUUCGAUACUGGCAAUCUUGAGUCCGGAAGAGGAGAGUGGAAUUCCCGGUGUAGCGGUGAAAUGCGCAGAUAUCGGGAAGAACACCCGUGGCGAAGGCGGCUCUCUGGGACGGUACUGACGCUGAGACGCGAAAGCGUGGGGAGCGAACAGG
rnacentral:rRNA from 1 species